rnacentral:rRNA from 1 species
AAUGUGAAUUGCAAAUUCAGUGAAUCAUCUAGUCUUUGAACGCACAUUGCGCCCCCUGGUAUUCCGGGGGGCAUGCCUGUCCGAGCGUCAUUUCUGCCCUCAAGCACGGCUUGUGUGUUGGGCCCCGUCCUCCGAUCCCGGGGGACGGGCCCGAAAGGCAGCGGCGGCACCGCGUCCGGUCCUCGAGCGUAUGGGGCUUUGUCACCCGCUCUGUAGGCCCGGCCGGCGCUUGCCGAUCAACCCAAAUUUUUAUCCAGGUUGACCUCGGAUCAGGUAGGGAUACCCGCUGAACUUAAGCAUAUCAAUAAGCGGAGGAA